ACGUCAUUAGCUCAGUUGGAAGAGCGGCAAUUUCAGCAAGAAGUUGGCAGUCCGGGGUUCGAUCCCUCGAUGGCGUUCCA
rnacentral:tRNA from 2 species